rnacentral:lncRNA from 1 species
UGUAUAAGACAUUCUCGGAAUGGGUUGAAAGUUGGUGUGCGGUCUUAUUUAUUUCUAGGUAAAUUGUCUGCUAAAUUUCGUCGCAUUCGAAGUCGGUAUGAUACGAGAACCGUUAACCAUAUAGCGGCACUAUAGCUGGGUUUAUUGUCGGACAUUUUGGUAUCUAAAAUUCAUUUCUCGUGCCGCAAAAUCUCCCUCUCUUCUUGAC